UGCCUAAGUAAUUUCUUCUUAACUCUGG
rnacentral:piRNA from 1 species